rnacentral:rRNA from 1 species
AUUGAACGCUGGCGGCAUGCCUUACACAUGCAAGUCGAACGGCAGCACGGGUGCUUGCACCUGGUGGCGAGUGGCGAACGGGUGAGUAAUACAUCGGAACAUGUCCUGUAGUGGGGGAUAGCACGGCGAAAGCCGGAUUAAUACCGCAUACGAUCUACGGAUGAAAGCGGGGGACCUUCGGGCCUCGCGCUAUAGGGUUGGCCGAUGGCUGAUUAGCUAGUUGGUGGGGUAAAGGCCUACCAAGGCGACGAUCAGUAGCUGGUCUGAGAGGACGACCAGCCACACUGGGACUGAGACACGGCCCAGACUCCUACGGGAGGCAGCAGUGGGGAAUUUUGGACAAUGGGCGAAAGCCUGAUCCAGCAAUGCCGCGUGUGUGAAGAAGGCCUUCGGGUUGUAAAGCACUUUUGUCCGGAAAGAAAUCCUUGGCCCUAAUACGGGCGGGGGAUGACGGUACCGGAAGAAUAAGCACCGGCUAACUACGUG